ACCCAGGUCCUCUGCAAGAAAGGUUCAGCUCUACUUGGAACGAGGGCAACUCUCCAUCUUGACUGUCUAUGUACCUGGUUCUUUAAAGGCAGCUUCCUCCCCUUCGUUCUGAUUCUGGCCCUGGGUAGGUGGAGGCCAUACCUCCUUGUACCCAGGAAGUAAGCUGUACUCAGUUCCUAAUCUGGGUAAACCAUUAAGCUUGGUUGUCUUCUGAAUGGGACCGGAAAUGGGGCCACUGUCACCUUCUUCUGCUUCAGAAGCUGUUUUUACAUCCAGAAGAGAGCGUCACAAACUGCGUAACUUACAAAUGGAAGAACCGUUCUGCAAAGUGCUAGAAGGUUCAACACCUGGCAAGGAACCAGCGUGAACCUGUGUUAGGGUCUCACUACGAUAACCGGGAUGGGCUGGAAACGCUCUCUGUAAAACGGUCUCGGCUCAAGCUCAAAGAUAUAUGUCUCCCAAGUGCUUGCAUUAGUGGCGCAUGACACUACCUACUGUGCUUCAUUUAGGAGAGCCUCACAUAGCUUACUCUGGCCUUGAGCUCGUUAUGCAGUAAAAGAUGAUCUUAAACUCCCCAUCUUCCUUACAAGAGCGCACCUAUCAUGGCCUCUUUCUGUGACACUGGUGAUCAGACCCAGGUUUGCACACAUCCUAGGCGAGCACUCCCCUAACUAAGCCAUGUUCCCAACAUACACCAACAAGCUGUGUGCUAUCAUACAGUGGUGGAACUGGCCAAGCUGUGCGGUGCUAUUCUUUUGUUGCUGUUGUUGUUUUGAGGCAGGGUUCCUGGAAUUCAAUAUGUGUACCAGGUUGGUCUCAAACUCACAGAAAACCACCCGCCUCUGCCUCGCAAAGAUGUGAGCCACCAUGCCUAGCAAGAGGACCUUAUUCUCUUCUCAAGAGACAAAAGAAUCUGCAAUUCCCUCUUAGAGAAGCCCACACCCAUGCUCUCGGGUAUUUUGUCCUUCCUUCUGAGUCUCUUAAUUCUAGUGAUUAAACCUAGUCUAGUGAUUAAAUUGAAAUACCCAAUUGAGGGGUUGAUGAGAUGGAUCAGUGGUCAAGAGCACUGGCUGCUCUUCCAAAAAACGAACAA
rnacentral:sRNA from 1 species